rnacentral:piRNA from 1 species
UGGCAUGCACAGGGCUGAGCCCACAUCCC